rnacentral:tRNA from 2 species
GUUGCGAUGGCCGAGUGGUUAAGGCGGUCGACUAGAAAUCCAAUGGGAUCUUCCCGCGCAGGUUCGAAUCCUGCCCGCAACG